AGUCGGGAAUCUUGGGCAAUGGGCGAAAGCCUGACCCAGCAACGCCGCGUGAGGGAUGAAGUCCUUCGGGAUGUAAACCUCGUAAGCAUGGGAAGAAUAAAUGACGGUACCAUGCGUAAGCCCCGGCUAACUACGUGCCAGCAGCCGCGGUAAUACGUAGGGGGCUAGCGUUGUUCGGAUUUACUGGGCGUAAAGCGCGUGUAGGCGGUACAUUAAGUCAGCUGUUAAAUUCCCGAGCUUAACUCAGGAAAGUCGGCUGAUACUGAUGUGCUAGAGUGCAGAAGAGGCAACUGGAAUUCUCGGUGUAGCGGUGAAAUGCGUAGAUAUCGAGAGGAACACCGGAGGCGAAGGCGAGUUGCUGGUCUGACACUGACGCUGAGACGCGAAAGCUAGGGGAGCAAA
rnacentral:rRNA from 1 species